UAAUWGASUUCGSWCAACGUGAGGUGGAUACGUAAGUCUAUUGCCUAURGUSGGGUCAACGUCAUACAUUGCGGUACASAGGCAGCCAACCCGCGAGGGAAGCCHAUCCCAUAAAGCCSGUCGUAGUCCGGAUCGCAGUCUGCAACUCGACUGCGUGAAGUCGGAAUCGCUAGUAAUCGUGGAUCAGCAUGUCACGGUGAAUACGUUCCCGGGUCUUGUACACACCGCCCGUCACACCAUGGGAGCCGGGUCUCGCCAGAAGUAGUUAGCCUAACCSCAAGGAGGGCGAUUACCACGGCGGGGUUCGUGACUUGGGGUGAAGGUCGUAACAAGGUASCCGUAUSSG
rnacentral:rRNA from 1 species